rnacentral:tRNA from 1 species
GGAAAAGUUUUCAUUAGGUAAGUUAAAAUGAUUGCUAAUUGUUGAGGAAAAACUCUUAGGGGUUCGAAUCCCCUCUUUUCCG